UCUGAUUUGGUGUGUAUCUGCUUCAUAGUUCAGUUUGCGCGCAUUUCUUUCUGAAUUAGUAAAUUAUAAGAAAAAACACGUAAAUCUUUCGGAAUCAGAGCGACAUAAAUUUUGUUUGCCGUGAAAAAUUGACUAAAAAUUGAAACCAAAGGUUCACGUUUGAGUUGUAGAAUUUUAUUCCAUCGAAUUGGUUCGAAACAAAGAGAUUGAUUGUUCGUUUGGGAAAAAAACAUAUCAAGUGACACACUGUGAAUUCAUUUGUCAUUGCGAUGUCUGAACCAUUGCUCCAACAAGCGGUGAUGAAAUUUCGCUGCAAUUCGUGUUUACAGGUUCAGAAAAUGUUCGACGUGGUUCCACGUCGAACCGGUGUUGAAGUUCCAAAACAGUUUUUCACGAGCUGUUACCAUAUAUUAUGUAAUCGCUGUCGAUUCAGUAAUGGUCAGAAUUGUGCGUUGUGCAAUCAAAGUUGUCGGUUUCUCGGAUGCGCGAGCCACAUACCAAAGCACUACUAGCUUUUCUUGAAGCCCAUUUCGAACGCAACGAAACAACAAUUGGACAUCAUGAAGUUUCAGCGUAUGCAGAAUCGUAUUGUACAGCGUCGAUUGAUGUUCAAACAAAUGGAAUUACAGCGUCGAAUUUUCGUCGAAAAAACAAUCAAUUCGAUCAAUUGGAUUUUUAGAAGUGUGGUGAUAACGUUCAAUUAACAUCCCACAUACAUUUUUGAAUUGAACGUUAUCUUUCCACUUUUAAAAAUCCAAUGGAACGUUCAGAAUAAUUCCGAACAAAUUGUGCGGUAGCUGUUAUUUCAAAAUAUCCACAGCUAUUGCCUACAAAUAGCAACCACUAAUAGCUCGAAAUAUAGGCAUAUACAAAAUGAGAGCUCUGAGUAAAACCAACACUUUUCCUAUACAAACAAAGUUUGUGGAAAAGUAAAAAUGAGAGUUUUUUUAACAUAAAAGUGUUGCCUCGCCCUGUGGAGCUUCGUGGAGCUCCGUGGAGCUUCGUCGAGGUCUGUGGAGGUCCGUGGAGUAUAUUGGAACAUUUUGGUACAUUUUGGAAUUUAUUAAAAUAUUGUGGAAUAUUGGAACAUUGUGGAGGUCCGUGGAGCUUCGUGGGGGUCUGUGGAGUAUAUUGGAACAUUUUGGUACAUUUUGGAAUAUAUUAAAAUAUUGUGGAAUAUUGGAACAUUGUGGAGGUCCAUGGCCU